rnacentral:rRNA from 1 species
AUGUUUCAACAACUCCUAUGGAUGUCUUGGCUUGGUUUACAUAUGAGGGGAAUUGAGUUUACGGAUUUGGCGUUGCCGGCCACCGUGGCCGCGGCGUUCUGCGUCGUUGACCACUCCGGUAACAACGGCCACCACAUCGCCAUUCCGUACUCAGCGAUCAUCUCACUAUGUCGCUCGCUGAUCUCCACUUGGACAAAGGGCAAGCAUUUGCUGAGGAAGUUUGGAGGAGGUGGGGAGUGUCGAUCAACUUUGAAGAAGGUAAAGAUCUCCAAGAAUUCGUCCUCGUUACUGAAUUUACAAGAUCCAGGAUCAGGCUUACGGAAGAAUUCGUGUCCACCAUUCUUCUAUCAUGCUUCGGUGGACGGGCAUCCCCAAAGUCAAAUUGCUGCAGAACUGGCCAAUCGGAUUUUCUGUGUCAUCCAAGGAAGUGGUUUCUCUAUCAUCAAUGGAGGUAACAUUUCAAUUUCUGAACUCAAUGUCAAUUUCCUACUCGGGGAUCUGGUGGCCCAAAUUCUUGUUGGUAACUUGACCAGUACCUACAAGAAAAGGAGGAUGAAUGGACCCACAUCUUCCGAAGACACCCAAGAAAUCAUAUCUGCAAGCUCUUGA